rnacentral:rRNA from 1 species
UACAGAGGGUGCAAGCGUUGUUCGGAAUUAUUGGGCGUAAAGCGCGUGUAGGCGGCUUCCUAAGUUUGGUGUGAAAUCCCGGGGCUUAACCCCGGAAGUGCACUGAAUACUGGGUCGCUAGAGGGUGAGAGAGGACAGUGGAAUUCCUGGUGUAGGGGUGAAAUCCGUAGAUAUCAGGAGGAACAUCAGUGGCGAAGGCGGCUGUCUGGCUCAUUUCUGACGCUGAGACGCGAAAGCGUGGGGAGCAAACAGG